GACGUCAUGCCUACAAAAAAGCAGCAACAAGUGAGGAAGGAUCCAACAGUUCCAGCCAGGGGACCGACCAGACCGCUUAGCAGCCCCCUGGCAGCACGAUGGACACUCCCAGCCUAAGGAGGGAGGAAAGAAUUGGGAAUCAACCUUCUUCUGAAUUAGACAGGAGGAUCCCUUCAGGGCCUUCCAGCAUUCUGGAACCAGGAUAUAUUUGGGGUCUUUCAUCAUGGAUUUUAUCACAGAAUCAGUAACCUUUCUUUAUUAUGAUUGAGGAAUGGAGGGGAAAGAAUAUACCGUAUUUUUCCGUGUAUAAGACUAUUUUUU